GGGGAUAUAGCUCAGUUGGUAGAGAACUUGCUUUGCAUGCAAAAGGCCCUGGGUUCAAUCCCCAGCACCACCA
rnacentral:tRNA from 1 species